rnacentral:rRNA from 1 species
GACGAACGCUGGCGGCGUGCUUAACACAUGCAAGUCGAACGGAAAGGCCCUGCUUUUGUGGGGUGCUCGAGUGGCGACCGGGUGAGUAACACGUGAGUACCCUGUCCUUGACUUUGGGAUAACUUAAGAAAACUGGGUCUAAUACCGGAUAGGAUCUCCUGCUGCAUGGUGGGGGUUGGAAAGUUUCGGCGGUUGGGGAUGGACUCGCGGCGUAUCAGCUUGUUUGUUGGGUAGUGGCUUACCAAGGCUUUGACGGGUAGCCGGCCUGGGAGGGUGACCGGCCACAUUGGGACUGGGAUGCGGCCCAGACUCCUACGGGACGGAGCAGUGCGGAAUAGUGCACAAUGGGCGGAAGCCUGAUGCAGCAACGCCGCGUGGGGGAUGACGGCCAUCGGGUUGUAAACCGCUUUCGCCUGUGACGAGGCGUGAGUGACGGUAAUGGGUAAAGAAGCACCGGCUAACUACGUG